rnacentral:rRNA from 1 species
GACGAACGCUGGCGGCGCACUUAACACAUGCAAGUCGAACGAGGUCCAUCCGGUGGCAACACCGGUGAAGACCUAGUGGCGAACGGGUGAGUAACACGUGAGAAACCUGCCCCAGAGAACGGGAUAACCCACCGAAAGGUGUGCUACUACCGGAUACCUUCACGACGUCGCAUGGCGAUGUGAAGAAAUGGAUUCCGCUCUGGGAGGGUCCCGCGGCCUAUCAGCUUGUUGGUGGGGUAACGGCUCGCCAAGGCGACGAUGGGUAGCUGUUCUGAGAGGAAGAUCAGCCACACUGGGACGGAGACACGGCCCAGACUCCUACGGGAGGCAGCAGUGGGGAAUCUUGCGCAAUGGGCGAAAGCCUGACGCAGCGACGCCGCGUGCGGGAAGACGGCCUUCGGGUUGUAAACCGCUUUCAGCAGGGACGAAAUUGACGGUACCUGCAGAAGAAGCCCCGGCCAACUACGUGCCAGCAGCCGCCGUAAAAC